UACGUAGGGCGCAAGCGUUGUCCGGAAUUAUUGGGCGUAAAGAGCUCGUAGGCGGCCAGUUGCGUCUGCUGUGAAAUCCCGGGGCUCAACCCCCGGGCGUGCAGUGGAUACGGGCUGGCUAGAGGCAGGCAGGGGAGAACGGAAUUCCCGGUGUAGCGGUGAAAUGCGCAGAUAUCGGGAGGAACACCGGUGGCGAAGGCGGUUCUCUGGGCCUGUACUGACGCUGAGGAGCGAAAGCGUGGGGAGCAAACAGG
rnacentral:rRNA from 1 species